rfam:Dipodomys ordii contig_29594, whole genome shotgun sequence.
GGGAAAGUGGCUCAGUGGUAGAGCGCUUGCCUUGAAUGCCAGAGGCCCUGGGGUUUGAUUCCUCAUCACCA